UCUGCACGUUCAAGGCGACAGCCGAGGAUAAUCGAGACGAAUGUUUCGUUUAGAAGCGAGUCGAUCGAAUUCCUGUGGCUUUGAAACGGAGGAUACGGAAAGAGAGACGUGGCCGAUAUGCAGUGAACGAUCGAAAUUUUUCUUCGGCUCGGACUUAACGGUGACAGAGAUAUCUGUUGACUGAGAGGAUGGAUGUUAAAGCGACUCGCUGACUUGAACCGGGUACAUUGAACUCAGCUGCCGCGCGCCGCCGCGCUGUAGUGCAACGUCGAACGCAUCCUAUGCUUAUAAACCGUAACGACACGUGGAACUAACGGACUUUGCCUGCAGCCCAUCUACACCCGCGGGAGCUGUUGCAGCUCUCUUCCUCUCUCACUCCACCGAUGACUUCCGCCAACUUCAUUUGGGGCUACGCGUGUACGCGCGAAAUUGUGACCCAACAUCGUAUGAUCUAGCCAGCAAAAGUCAUUAACUCUCGAUGGAUGUUGUUAUUACAGUCAGGUGCGAAGAUGAAACGGAACGCGCCACAAACAUCGGAUCCUGUCACGCUUCGAACGACUAGCAAUGGGCUUUGGCUUGUCUUCAUUGCUAUUCGGUAGUUAACGAUACUGAUGAAAUGUCUACUUAGACGGAUAAUAAACCAGUUUCACGAACAACUGUGCUCACAGCCGUGUAUAUAUUAUAUUACAUAGAAAUCUAUCUCCUUUCAAAUUACUGAGAAUGACAGUAAAAUUACGUCUCGUACUUUAAGAUGCGCUAUUUUGUGAGCUAUGUGCACUCGAUAAAGACUUUUAUGUAUUUUUUCGAGCAUCGAAGAUCAGAGAAAUGUAUCUAUAGCUUCUAAUGCUUUUCAUUGAAGUUAUUAAUAUUCGUGUGGUAAAAGAGACUUUUGGAGAGUAAUAAAUUAAAAUUUUCAAAAUAAAGUAGUAAUAAAUUUUGUAGUGU